AUUGAACGCUGGCGGCAUGCUUUACACAUGCAAGUCGAACGGCAGCGCGGGCUUCGGCCUGGCGGCGAGUGGCGAACGGAUGAGUAAUGCAUCGGAACGUGCCCAGUAGUGGGGGAUAGCCCGGCGAAAGCCGGAUUAAUACCGCAUACGACCUGAGGGUGAAAGCGGGGGACCGAAAGGCCUCGCGCUAUUGGAGCGGCCGAUGUCGGAUUAGCUAGUUGGUGGGGUAAAGGCUUACCAAGGCGACGAUCCGUAGCUAGUCUGAGAGGACGACCAGCCACACUGGGACUGAGACACGGCCCAGACUCCUACGGGAGGCAGCAGUGGGGAAUGGUGGACAAUGGGGGCAACCCUGAUCCAGCCAUGCCGCGUGCGGGAAGAAGGCCUUCGGGUUGUAAACCGCUUUUGUUCGGGAAGAAAGCCUCUGGGCUAAUACCCCGGGGGGAUGACGGUACCGGAAGAAUAAGCACCGGCUAACUACGUG
rnacentral:rRNA from 1 species